rnacentral:rRNA from 1 species
AUUGAACGCUGGCGGCAUGCUUUACACAUGCAAGUCGAACGGUAACAGGCCGCAAGGUGCUGACGAGUGGCGAACGGGUGAGUAAUGCAUCGGAACGUGCCCAGUCGUGGGGGAUAACUACUCGAAAGAGUAGCUAAUACCGCAUACGAUCUAUGGAUGAAAGCGGGGGACCGUAAGGCCUCGCGCGAUUGGAGCGGCCGAUGUCAGAUUAGGUAGUUGGUGGGGUAGAGGCUCACCAAGCCAACGAUCUGUAGCUGGUCUGAGAGGACGACCAGCCACACUGGGACUGAGACACGGCCCAGACUCCUACGGGAGGCAGCAGUGGGGAAUUUUGGACAAUGGGCGCAAGCCUGAUCCAGCAAUGCCGCGUGCAGGAAGAAGGACUUCGGGUUGUAAACUGCUUUUGUACGGAACGAAACGGCUCUGGUUAAUACCCGGGGCUAAUGACGGUACCGUAAGAAUAAGCACCGGCUAACUACGUG